ACAUGAUUUUACCUGUAAUGCAGCCUGGAUAUGGAGCUUCCGUGGUUGAUUUUCAUAUUACCAAGAGUGAAGUUCUUAAAGACAAAAUUUUUUUAUUGGUGGCACAAACAGAUAACAUUGAGACAUCAGCAAGCCUCAUAAAUCCUCAGCAAGUGAAUUUUCUCCUCAAUGGAAAAUGAGU